AUUGAACGCUGGCGGAAUGCUUUACACAUGCAAGUCGAACGGCAGCACGGACUUCGGUCUGGUGGCGAGUGGCGAACGGGUGAGUAAUGUAUCGGAACGUGCCCAGUCGUGGGGGAUAACGUAGUGAAAAUUACGCUAAUACCGCAUACGAUCUAUGGAUGAAAGCGGGGGAUCGAAAGACCUCGCGCGAUUGGAGAGGCCGAUAUCAGAUUAGGUAGUUGGUGGGGUAAAGGCCCACCAAGCCAACGACCUGUAGCUGGUCUGAGAGGACGACCAGCCACACUGGAACUGAGACACGGUCCAGACUCCUACGGGAGGCAGCAGUGGGGAAUUUUGGACAAUGGGCGAAAGCCUGAUCCAGCCAUUCCGCGUGCAGGAUGAAGGCCCUCGGGUUGUAAACUGCUUUUGUACAUAACGAAAAGGUUUCUACUAAUACUAGGAGCUCAUGACGGUACUGUAGGAAUAAGCACCGGCUAACUACGUGCCAGCCGCCGCGGUAA
rnacentral:rRNA from 1 species